GGGUCAUACAGUAUAUUAUUGAUAAAGCAUCACAAACAACUAAACUCUGUUCAGAAUUGUUUUUUCGUUAACAAUAGUUUAUCAUUGCUUGAAGGUAUACAUUAAAUGUCUUAUGACAGCGGCUACACCUAUACCUUCAACACUUUACAAGGGCUGCACCUGACCUUUAUUAUCCUAGGACGUUUAUUUUUUCUAUCCAUAUUAAUCAUUAAACUAAAUUUAAAAAUUAACUUACUCUUUGAUC